UGUCNGGAAUUAUUGGGCGUAAAGAGCUCGUAGGUGGUUCGUCACGUCGGAUGUGAAAAUCUGGGGCUUAACCCCAGACCUGCAUUCGAUACGGGCGAGCUUGAGUAUGGUAGGGGAGUCUGGAAUUCCUGGUGUAGCGGUGGAAUGCGCAGAUAUCAGGAGGAACACCAAUGGCGAAGGCAGGACUCUGGGCCAUUACUGACACUGAGGAGCGAAAGCGUGGGGAGCGAACAGGAUUAGAUACCCUGGUAGUCCACGCCGUAAACGGUGGGCACUAGUUGUGGGGACCUUCCACGGUCUCUGCGACGCAGCUAACGCAUUAAGUACCCCGCCUGGGGAGUACGAUCGCAAGAUUAAAACUCAAAGGAAUUGACGGGGCCCCGCACAAGCAGCGGAGCAUGCGGCUUAAUUCGACGCAACGCGAAGAACCUUACCAAGGCUUGACAUAUACAGGAAUAUGGCAGAGAUGUCAUAGCCGCAAGGUCUGUAUACAGGUGGUGCAUGGUUGUCGUCAGCUCGUGUCGUGAGAUGUUGGGUUAAGUCCCGCAACGAGCGCAACCCCCGUUCUGUGUUGCCAGCAUUAAGUUGGGGACUCACAGGAGACUGCCGGGGUUAACUCGGAGGAAGGUGGGGAUGACGUCAAAUCAUCAUGCCCCUUAUGUCUUGGGCUGCACGCAUGCUACAAUGGCUGGUACAAACGGCUGCGAUACCGCAAGGUGGAGCGAAUCCGAUAAAGCCAGUCUCAGUUCGGAUUGGGGUCUGCAACUCGACCCCAUGAAGUCGGAGUUGCUAGUAAUCGUAGAUCAGCAACGCUACGGUGAAUACGUUCCCGGGGCUUGUACACACCGCCCGUCACGUCACGAAAGUCGGUAACACCCGAAGUCAGUGGCCCAACCGCAAGGAGGGAGCUGCCGAAGGUGGGAUCGGUGAUUGGGA
rnacentral:rRNA from 1 species